rnacentral:rRNA from 1 species
CCUACGGGGGGCUGCAGUGGGGAAUAUUGGGCAAUGGGCGCAAGCCUGACCCAGCAACGCCGCGUGAAGGAAGAAGGCUUUCGGGUUGUAAACUUCUUUUGUCAGGGACGAAGCAAGUGACGGUACCUGACGACUAAGCCACGGCUAACUACGUGCCAGCAGCCGCGGUAAUAAGUAGGUGGCAAGCGUUAUCCGGAUUUACUGGGUGUAAAGGGCGUGUGGGCGGGACUGCAAGUCAGAUGUGAAAACCAAGGGGUCAACCUGUGGCCUGCUUUUGAAACUGUAGUUAUUGAGUACUGGGGAGGCAGACGGAAUUCCGAGUGUAGCGGUGAAAUGCGUAGAUAAUAGGAGGAACACCAGUGGCGAAGGCGGGCUGCUGGACAGCAACUGACGCUGAGGCGCGAAAGCGUGGGGAGCAAACAGGAUUAGAUACCCCUGUAGUC